rnacentral:rRNA from 1 species
UACGGAGGGUGCAAGCGUUAUCCGGAUUUACUGGGUUUAAAGGGUGCGUAGGUGGGCAGUUAAGUCAGUGGUGAAAUCUCCGAGCUUAACUCGGAAACUGCCAUUGAUACUAUCUGUCUUGAAUAUCCUGGAGGUGAGCGGAAUAUGUCAUGUAGCGGUGAAAUGCUUAGAUAUGACAUAGAACACCAAUUGCGAAGGCAGCUCACUACGGAUAUAUUGACACUGAGGCACGAAAGCGUGGGGAUCAAACAGG